CUACGGGGUGCAGCAGUGGGGAAUUUUGCGCAAUGGGCGGAAGCCUGACGCAGCAAUACCGCGUGAGUGAAGAAGGCCUUUGGGUCGUAAAGCUCUUUUCUGAAGGAAGAUAGUGACGGUACUUCAGGAAUAAGCACCGGCUAACUCCGUGCCAGCAGCCGCGGUAAUACGGAGGGUGCAAGCGUUGUUCGGAUUUACUGGGCGUAAAGGGCACGUAGGCGGCACAGCAAGUUAAGGGUGAAAUCCCGGGGCUCAACUCCGGAACUGCUCUUAAAACUGCUGAGCUAGAGAUAGUCAGAGGCGGGUGGAAUGCCUGGUGUAGAGGUGAAAUUCGUAGAUAUCAGGAGGAACACCGGUGGCGAAGGCGGCCCGCUGGGGCUAUUCUGACGCUAAGGUGCGAAAGCGUGGGGAGCGAACGGGAUUAGAUACCCGAGUAGUC
rnacentral:rRNA from 1 species